GCCCCCGUUGUCUAAUGGCUAUGACGUCAGACUUCUACACGGGGAUUCCAAGGUUCCUUGCGGUGAGCAACGCGUGGAGAUGAUGGUGCUCCUCGCGCACGACCUCGGAGGUUGCGGGUUCGAGUCCCGCCGGGGGUA